CGGAAUCCCCUCUCCGUUUUCCUUAGUCCUUGAAGCUUUGAUUUCGGCCGGCUAUUGUCGGAUUUUUGUUAAGAAAGUUGAUGCUUUGUUUCCCCUAUUAUCAAACAUCUAUCCUCCUUUUUCUGGUCGUUUUCACCGCUGGUGCUCGUUGUUGAGGCCUUCGUCCGGUCCCUUGUAGCAGCUUGUAGCCAUAGCCGGAGCCCCAGCCAUCGGGAUGCCAUAAAUCUUUGGAUAUUGGACCAAAGACCCUAUUUUGGUGUAGUUUUGUUUGAUUUCUUUUUGCCGCCGCCCAUCUGCUAUCGUUGGUCAUUGUCCAUGGUGGUUGACUGAUUUUGUUGGAUCCAAAGCUCUCCUCAAUGAUCUUGAUCAACCCUGGUGAAGGAGAUCCUGAUCCAUGGCUGCUGGGUAGCAUGCCGACCUUAACUAUGGACAUCGUUAGAUUUGGUCAUCUUUAAUUUCUGUUGAACCAUUUAUAGUAGUUCAACCAUGAUCAGAUAAAAUUAUUUUGAUUGGACCGAUCGAGAUGUUAGGCACUCUCACUUGGCCAGUCCUAUAAGCAUAUCAAAACUUAAAAUUUUAUUAUUAAAAUAAUCAAGACUAAAUUAUGAUAAAAAAUAUAAUUUUUGGUUCUUAGGCUCUCAAGGAGAUUUUUAGAGUUAAUUGGAUUUGUCGGAUGAUUUUAUUUGUAAGGUAGGUAAUGUAAUCUUUUUUUUGAAUUUAUUGACAAAUUAUAAAUACUUAUUUCAUUAAACCUUGGGUUGUAUUGCUUGUGAUUUAUAUUAUUUUGUUAUUGAAUACGUCAUAUUGUGGAACAUUAUUUGGUGCAUGAUUGAAAGUGCUGAGUUUGAUCAA